rnacentral:rRNA from 1 species
UACGUAGGGGGCGAGCGUUGUCCGGAAUUAUUGGGCGUAAAGAGCUCGUAGGCGGUUUGUCGCGUCUGCUGUGAAAACCUAAGGCUCAACCUUGGGCUUGCAGUGGGUACGGGCAGACUAGAGUGCGGUAGGGGUGACUGGAAUUCCUGGUGUAGCGGUGGAAUGCGCAGAUAUCAGGAGGAACACCGAUGGCGAAGGCAGGUCACUGGGCCGCAACUGACGCUGAGGAGCGAAAGCAUGGGGAGCGAGCAGG